GCAGCGCUCAUAGAGCCCGACGACAGUUGUGUCGAGAGAGCCCGACGCUCGCGUAUCAACAUCACGCAUAUAUAUAUAUAUAUAUCUGUGCGCAGAGUACGAACAGAAAAAUGUUCACGUGGACAGAAAAAAAAGCGGGAAGAAGGAAAGAGAGAAGGACGCACAAGGUGUCGAUCUGCGGUUAGUUUGUAACAGAGAUAAAUUGACACAUCGUUUAUAUCUCGACUACUUUCCAACAGAAUCAAGCAAGUGAGAAAACACAUAUAACAAAAUAUCACAUACAAGGAUCGCCACUGGAGUCAAUACUAGUCGUUCUAUCAUUGAGGUAAAACGAUCGCGUUAGAAGGUUGGAUGGGUGAUCCAUCGAAACCACGGAGGGAUGCGAAAUGACAAUUUUUUUCUCUAUUAAUGGUAGAUGCAAAUCUUUCUUUAAUUCUCAACAUACAGAUAAAAAAUUAUCAUUUGUAGCAUCAAAGAGGCACAGUCGUAGAACGAUAUCUGUAAUAUUGCACAAAUAUUACCACAUUAUUACAGGCAGAUCACUGUAAUAUUACUGAAAUAUCGCAGAAAUAUUUCAGCAAUGAAUUUUCGCGAACAUUUAAUAUUAUAAUAAUAUUUAUGUAAUAUUAUUGAUAUAUUUCCUUGUAAUAUUAUUAUAGCAAUAUCGUUACUACUGCGAUAUUACAUUGUUGUAUGGAUUUUGGACGUUUAUCUCGCGCUCAAGUUCCCACUCAUGAGACUUCGCGUUAUAUAAGCGCACCGACAAACAAACACUCCCGUCGAGAUAUAUUUGUGGUUAACAUGACAUAAAAUGGCACGAUGAACUUCUCGCGCGUGUCGAAACCACUGUGAAAGUCACGUAAAAUUAGACCUUGCUCGUGACCGAUUGACAGCACCGCGACAGUUCAGUAAAUGAGGCGCGUGCACACGGAAAAAAAUAAUUUCGUCAGCAUAACUUGGGAUUUUCUGUUGCUCGGGAACAAGAUGAAAACUCGAUUGUAGAAACAGAAAGAUUUCUGCGAGAGGUUUCUAUUCAGUGAAUUGCUCUCAGUUGUUUCAACCAAAUUUUAACGCAGCUGAAUGUUCAUACGAAUGUUUUCAGUCGCGGUAACACACAAAUAUUUCUUAUCUUCAAAUUUUCAUCUGAUACCUAUUGCAGAAACCGAGAUUUUUUUGUGUAAUACACACACACACACACACACACCGAAGAAAUAGCGUAAUCCGCGUAAAAACAUUCCUUUUUUACGGCCGUAUUUCUUCCUAAGAAUGUAUACCCGUACGAGUGUUCUAAAUAACCGGCCGAAUGAUCGAUCUAUUUCGAUGGGAAUGUCCGUUUCGGCGAAUUUGGUGCAGAAAGUUUACCUACGAUCAAAUUUAUAUCCAAGUUCUUAAUCUCCCUCUUUCUAUCGCGAUAGUUUCAAACGUCAAUAUCUUACGGACUUUAUAUUUCAGAAAGUAAAAGUUGCCUGGGUCGCACGAAAAAUUCUCGACGGAGAAUUAAAAAUCGGGAGUGAAUUCUUCACGGAUUCGAGACUCAGAAUUGAGUAUACAAUCGGCAGCCUCAAGAAAAGCUUUUAAGAAAAGGGAAUUGCGGUAUUACGUAAUACUGGCGAAUCGCCGCCAAUGCACUUUCCCCUUACUUGAAAUCUUGAUCGUAGAGAAGAACAUACGCGUAACGUUACUUUAGCACGACAUAAAAUAUCACAUCUUUUCGAUACUGUGAAAAAAGGAGAGACGAAAAAUAUUUCAUAUCACACGCUCCCUUCUCAGACGUAGACAAGUCAUCAAUUUACUUUGAUGACGAGAAUAAUCGCAGACGAUUAUUUCGUUGACCUGAAUACAAAAAGCGAUGAAAGCGUGUCAUCUCGAUUCCGAAUAAAAUACCGUCAGCUAAUAACCUGUCGGAUGGAAUUUAUGCGAGUCUAAACACGUGUUAGACACGCACCAGCCACGACUGUGCGAAAGUGUUCUGUAUACAUAUACUGUAAUAUUUAACGACAUGUCGUUAAAAAUCACAAAAUAGAUCUACUGUACUCCCACACACACACAUACAACUUACGUUCGAGCUCAUCCGUCUGUCGCACGAAGGAGACACUUCAUCACAAAGUUAUAAGCUAUCCGCCGCCGUUGCGAGAUGUGAUGCGAAAUAUGCGCGGGGUGGAUGUGUGUAGCCUUCGCGACGACCGUAGGUUGCGCGUUCGACCGCGUCGACCGACAGUGUCUCGUGCUUUCCUCCACUGUCUGCGAGAAUUAAGGACGGAUUCCAUCUGGGUCACGUCGACUAGGGUAACUACCUUCCGCGCGAUCCAUAUAAUAAUGAUCUUCAGCGACGUCUGGCGGAGGGUGAGGAAAAGCGAGCGUCAGGCUUGCGCUGUGAGGGAUGAAAUAGAUUCGCGAUAAUCGACUGACGAGAGCGACGCGAGAAAAAUAUCACGAGGGAGAGUUUCGUCACAAUCCUUUCCUUAUUAUUUGAUUAAGGCUCCUAGAUACUCACUCUAACUAUUCUUCUUUGAUGACUUAUUCUUAAAAUAUUAUAAAGAAUUAUUUUAAUAAUAUUCGUAUAUAAUAUUCUUAACACGAAGGAGACACUUCAUCACAAAGUUAUAAGCUAUCCGCCGCCGUUGCGAGAUGUGAUGCGAAACAUGUGCGGGUAUGCAUGUGUAGCCUUCGCAAUUUUUAAGAAAUAUUAGAAAUGCUAUGCUAUUACAUAAUGUAUAUCGUCUAUUUUGUUUUCUUAGAGAGAUUUAUAUUUUUUGUUUUCUCUGAAAUUAAGAUAUAAAGUAUUUUUGGAUUCAUCUACAUUCUCAUCAAGCUUUUUUCUCUAUUGCCGCGCACGAGAAUCAACAUCUUUCUAUUAUAUAGAUAAUGUGCAUUAUUUUAUCAGUCAUUUUAUUAAUCACUUUAUAUAAAUGUACAAACGAUAAGAAGACGAAUAUAAUGAUUAAGAAACAAAGUUGUUGUUCAAGAAAUGUUAUUAUUAUAACUAUUUAUAAAAAAUGAAAUAAAAAAUUUGAAUAAUUUA